rnacentral:rRNA from 1 species
UAGGGAAUCUUCGGCAAUGGGGGCAACCCUGACCGAGCAACGCCGCGUGAGUGAAGAAGGUUUUCGGAUCGUAAAGCUCUGUUGUAAGAGAAGGACGUGUGUGAGAGUGGAAAGUUCACACAGUGACGGUAACUUACCAGAAAGGGACGGCUAACUACGUGCCAGCAGCCGCGGUAAUACGUAGGUCCCGAGCGUUGUCCGGAUUUAUUGGGCGUAAAGCGAGCGCAGGCGGUUUAAUAAGUCUGAAGUUAAAGGCAGUGGCUUAACCAUUGUUCGCUUUGGAAACUGUUAAACUUGAGUGCAGAAGGGGAGAGUGGAAUUCCAUGUGUAGCGGUGAAAUGCGUAGAUAUAUGGAGGAACACCGGUGGCGAAAGCGGCUCUCUGGUCUGUAACUGACGCUGAGGCUCGAAAGCGUGGGGAGCAAACAGG